rnacentral:rRNA from 1 species
GACGAGCCACCCGAACGUUAUUCGGAAUUACUGGGCUUAAAGGGUGCGUAGGCGGUGUAGCAAGUCGGGAGUGAAAUACCCCAGCUUAACUGAGGAAUUGCUUUCGAUACUGCUGCGCUUGAGUGAGACAGAGGUAAGCGGAACUUAGGGUUGAGCGGUGAAAUGCGUUGAUAUCCUAAGGAACACCGGUGGCGAAGGCGGCUUACUGGGUCUCAACUGACGCUGAGGCACGAAAGCUAGGGUAGCAAACGGG